AGGCGUGUAGCUCAACUGGCAGAGCAACGGUCUCCAAAACCGUAGGUUGCGGGUUCGAUUCCUGCCACGCCUG
rnacentral:tRNA from 1 species